rnacentral:rRNA from 1 species
UACGGGGGGGGCAAGCGUUGUUCGGAAUUACUGGGCGUAAAGGGCUCGUAGGCGGCCAACUAAGUCGGACGUGAAAUCCCUCGGCUUAACUGGGGAACUGCGUCUGAUACUGGAUGGCUUGGAUUCGGGAGAGGGAUGCGGAAUUCCUGGUGUAGCGGUGAAAUGCGCAGAUAUCAGGAGGAACACCGGUGGCGAAGGCGGGUCUCUGGGCAGCUACUGACGCUGAGGAGCGAAAGCGUGGGGAGCGAACAGG